AACGAACGCUGGCGGCAUGCCUAACACAUGCAAGUCGAACGGGAUCCUAGCUUGCUAGGUGAGAGUGGCGGACGGGUGAGUAACACGUGGGAAUCUGCCUUUUGGUUCGGGAUAACCGCGGGAAACUGCGGCUAAUACCGAAUGCCCUCGAGAGAGGAAAGAUUUAUCGCCAGAAGAGGAGCCCGCGUCCGAUUAGGUAGUUGGUGGGUAAAGGCCUACCAAGCCGACGAUCGGUAGCUGGUCUGAGAGGAUGAUCAGCCACACUGGGACUGAGAUAC
rnacentral:rRNA from 1 species